rnacentral:tRNA from 1 species
GCGGCUGUAGUCUAGUGGUAUAACAAUGGCUUCCCAAGCCAUGAACCCGGGUCCGAAUCCCGGCGGCCGCA